UACGUAGGGUGCAAGCGUUGUCCGGAAUUAUUGGGCGUAAAGAGCUCGUAGGCGGUCUGUCGCGUCGGCUGUGAAAACCCGGAGCUCAACUCCGGGCCUGCAGUCGAUACGGGCAGACUGGAGUUCGGCAGGGGAGACUGGAAUUCCUGGUGUAGCGGUGAAAUGCGCAGAUAUCAGGAGGAACACCGGUGGCGAAGGCGGGUCUCUGGGCCGAUACUGACGCUGAGGAGCGAAAUCCAGGGGAGCGAACGGG
rnacentral:rRNA from 1 species